rnacentral:lncRNA from 1 species
UAACACAUCUGCCAUCUCAAACAGAUGUUUGGAGCCGUUCCUCCGAUCCGCUCCGGGAGUGCCAAUGUUGUGCUGUUGCCAUGGAGACGUGAACCACGCCCUCCGGUGGUGCAUGGAGGAGCUACACCAGCUGACUGAGGAUGUUCCUGCUGAAGGUGUGACUCAGGGCAUCCACACAUCAGCUCUGCGUGCUUCAGUGACCGCCGUCUGCAGUGUUUGUGGACGAACGUGACUUUUAACCCGGUCAGCAGGUCAGCGCUUUACACCUCCUUUUCUAGAGCUGUUUAUACAUGUGUGUGUGUGUGUGUGUGUGUGUGUGUGUGUGUGUGUGUUGGAGGACAUUCAUCAGUGAGCUGCUCUGAACUCAGCCAGGACUGACGGUUUGUGUUUCAUUUAUCAAGAAAUCCUGAGUGUGAAUCCAAACAAGAAGACAGGAGCAAUUCUGCUGCCGAAAGCUGUAGUGAUAGCAGCGCUUAAAUCACCAACACUGCUGCUGCCAUCAACACUCCGGCACCGAGUAUCAAUAAUGACAAAACACCGAGACUCCUUUACUCAAAACCUCCUCAAAACACCCUAGCAACAGCAAAACAUCCUCUCAGAAAACACUAGCAACCACCCAAAACAUCUUAUCAACUACUUAAAGAACUCUUGCAACUGCACAACAACCUUUUAGAACACCCUAGCAACUGCACAACAACCUUUUAUAACAUCCUAGCAACUGCACAAAAACCUUUUAUAACACCCUAGCAACUGCACAACAACCUUUUAGAACACCCUAGCAACUGCACAACAACCUUUUAUAACACCCUAGCAACUGCACAACAACCUUUUAUAACACCCUAGCAACUACAAAAAACCUUUUAGAACACCCUAGCAACUGCACAACAACCUUUUAGAACACCCUAGCAACUGCACAAAAACCUUUUAUAACACCCUAGCAACUGCACAACAACCUUUUAGAACACCCUAGCAACUGCACAACAACCUUUUAGAACACCCUAGCAACUGCACAACAACCUUUUAUAACACCCUAGCAACUGCACAAAAACCUUUUAGAACACCCUAGCAACUGCACAACAACCUUUUAGAACACCCUAGCAACUGCACAACAACCUUUUAGAACACCCUAGCAACUGCACAACAACCUUUUAGAACACCCUAGCAACUGCACAACAACCUUUUAGAACACCCUAGCAACUGCACAACAACCUUUUAGAACACCCUAGCAACUGCACAACAACCUUUUAGAACACCCUAGCAACUGCACAACAACAUUUUAGAACACCCUAGCAACUGCACAACAACCUUUUAGAACACCCUAGCAACUUCACGGCAACCUUUUAGAACACCCUAACAAUUUCAUAGCAACACACAGGACACCUACUGUAUGCAACCGUACAGGAAACAGGAUACCCUAGCGACUACAUAGAAAUAUUUUAGAACACCCUAGCAACUGUAUAGCAACACCCAGGAUAUCGUAGCAACUGCAAAGCAACACUCAGAACACCCUAGCAAAUACAUGUCAACAUCCAGGACACCCUAGAAACUUCAUAGUAACCAUCCUGAAACCCUUGAAACUUCAUAGCAACACCCAGCACACAUAGCAACCAUCUGGGACACGCUAGCAAUUGCAUAUCAGCUCUCAGGACACCUUUGCAUAGCAACUCCAUAGCAACACCCAGGACACUUUAGCAACUGCAAAGCAACUACCCAGGACACCAUAGCAACUGCAAAGCAGCACCCAGCACAGCCUAACAACUACAUAGCAACACUCAGAACACCCUAGCAACUGCAUAGCAGCACUCUGGACACCUUAGCAACUACACAUCAACACCCAGAACACCUUAGCAACUGCAUAGCAACACCAAGGACACCCUAGUAUCUGCAUAGCAACACCCAGGACACCUAGCAACUGCGUAGAAA